rnacentral:lncRNA from 1 species
CGUGUAAAUCUCAGUGACAGUCGACACUUCCAACUUGCUGUCAGAUUUCAGAUAAAUAGAAAAGUGAAAGUUUUGGUAUCGAGCAAGUGACGAGUAUUUUUUUGAAAUUUGAUUUUUUCAAUAUUUUGUUUUACAAGCACAUGCCGAGAUCCUGUACAAUAAUGGGUUCGGCAUCCACCGGAAGAUCCAGCAGCCGUCGAUUUCUUUCCUGUCGCGGUAGCAUUGACGAAUCCAGCCGUUCCUGUCGUUCAUGCCGGAGGCUGACUGCGACCGUAGCCUCGCACGAAUCUGCUUGUUCAAUCCAUUCUGGCACCGAUAAGGAAGCGGCGCUGGGUGUUGUUUAGGAAGAGAAUGACGCCUUCAAGGGCGUCCCAGCCGAAGUGCAAUCAAAUCAAGGUGAACCUACGAGAUAGCUCCAGCUGGAUGCCAAACCAGCCGGAGAAACUGCAGAAGUUGAAAUCGAGUUUUAUUGUUUGUUUUAUAAGUAAUAUUUAAUUAUUUGUGAAAAUGUACUCACCAGUUUAACCUGCUGCAAUACAAACGGAUGCAUUCCUCCAAACCGAGACGUAACCAA